GAUGAACGCUGGCGGCGUGGUUAAGACAUGUAAGUCGAACGGGCUUUUCGGUGCUUAGUGGCGAACGGGUGAGUAACGCGUGAGAAACCUGCCUUUCAGUGGGGGACAACAGUUGGAAACGACUGCUAAUACCACAUAAUGUUAUUUGGGGGCAUCCCCGAAUAACCAAAGCUUUAUGUGCUGAAAGAUGGUCUCGCGUCUGAUUAGCUAGAUGGCGGGGUAACGGCCCACCAUGGCGACGAUCAGUAGCCGGUCUGAGAGGAUGAACGGCCACAUUGGGACUGAGAUACGGCCCAGACUCCUACGGGAGGCAGCAGUGGGGAAUAUUGGGCAGUGGGCGAAAGCCUGACCCAGCAACGCCGCGUGAAGGAAGAAGGCCUUCGGGUUGUAAACUUCUUUUACCAGGGACGAAGAAAGUGACGGUACCUGGAGAAAAAGCAACGGCUAACUACGUGCCAGCCGCCGCCGUAACAC
rnacentral:rRNA from 1 species